rnacentral:rRNA from 1 species
GACGGAAGGUGCAAGCGUUGCUCGGAAUCACUGGGCGUAAAGCGUGCGUAGACGGUUAUUUAAGUCGGGUGUGAAAGCCCCGGGCUCAACCUGGGAAUUGCAUUCGAGACUGAAUAGCUAGGGUACGGUAGAGGGAAGCGGAAUUUCCGGUGUAGCGGUGAAAUGCGUAGAUAUCGGAAGGAACAUCAGUGGCGAAAGCGGCUUCCUGGACCAGUACCGACGUUCAGGCACGAAAGCGUGGGGAGCAAACAGG